rnacentral:lncRNA from 1 species
GGUAUGCUGGCCAGUCCCAGCCCAGUAUGUCUGGGCCAUGUCCCAGCCCAGGUAUGUCCGGGCCAUGUCCCAGCCCAGGUAUGUCUGGGCCAUGUCCCAGCCCAGGUAUGUCUGGGCCAUGUCCCAGCCCAGGUAUGUCUGGGCCAUGUCCAGCCCAGGUAUGUCUGGGCCAUGUCCCAGCCCAGGUAUGUCGGGCCAUGUCCCAGCCCAGGUAUGUCGGCCAUGUCCCAGCCCAGGUAUGUCUGGGCCAUGUCCCAGCCCAGGUAUGUCUGGGCCAUGUCCCAGCCCAGGUAUGUCUGGGCCAUGUCCCAGCCAGGCCAUGUCUGGGCCAUGUCCCAGCCAGGUAGUCUGGGCCAUGUCCCAGCCCAGGU